rnacentral:rRNA from 1 species
GAUCUCAACUCAUACGUGACUACCCCCCGAAAUUAAACACAUUAAAAAACGGGGGAAAAAAAAACUACCCCGG